rnacentral:rRNA from 1 species
GACGGAGGAUGCAAGCGUUAUCCGGAAUUAUUGGGCGUAAAGCGUCCGCAGGUGGCUGUUCAAGUCUGCUGUCAAAGCGCAGAGCUUAACUCUGUACAGGCGGUGGAAACUGAAGAGCUAGAGUAUGGUAGGGGUAGAGGGAAUUCCCGGUGUAGCGGUGAAAUGCGUAGAUAUCGGGAAGAACGCCAGUGGCGAAAGCGCUCUACUGGGCCAUAACUGACACUGAGGGACGAAAGCUAGGGGAGCGAAAGGG